ensembl:lncRNA
AUGACAGUGUCACAAAAACCAUCUCAAGGUUUUCAGGCUGGGCAAAAGGAUUUUAUGGGAGCAUUAAUGUGUAGAAACUAUAUGCAGGGGUUGACUACACGCAGACAUAACUAUGGAGCAAGUGAGCAAACCCUAGGAGUCUGCAGAGACAGCAGUCACUUAACACCCAGCCUGCAGGUUGAGGAAGCAGCUAUCAGGAAAGAAAGCAAAUUCACUUUCCUACAGAGGGACACAUCCAUCUCUGCAGCCAAUGAGCUGGAUACAGAAGCGAGCACCUUCUAGCAGUUGAGACCUUAUAUCUGCCAUGCCGAUUUAUGCUGUUGUAUCCUGGAGAGAGCAUUCCUUCCCAGCAAUGAUGGAGGAACCCAAGACGGAAAGAAAACACAAAAACUGAUCCUCUAAGUAUUUAAAUCAACAUCUUGAUAUAAAUUUCCAAAGGAGACAUUGAAUAUAUUCUUGCCUCGUCUUUGAUUAGAAACAGGAAUAGAAUUCCUGUUAGUUUGGUAUUUUAGGGGUGAUAAUAGCAAAAUGACCUUCAAAUUCUUAACUAUAAGCUUUAACUGGGUUUGCCUGAUUGCUGGUUUUGAAUGAACCUUACAACCAAGGACCGCUGUGACACAGAAGAGUAGAAGUUUGGCACAAACUGCAUGGGUUCACCAUGUGGUUCUUUCAUUUUCUAAUUCUGUAAUCCUGUACAAACCAUUUAACGUACUUAUGACUCAGUUUACUUAUCCGUGAAUGGGGAAAGUAAUAAUGUCUCCCUCUUUAGGACUGAAGUGAGCCAAUACAUAUAAAGUACUGAGUAGUAAGUAUCUCCAAACACAUCCAUUAUCCAAACCAUUAGUGAUCUCUGUGCGCGUGUGUGUGUGUGUGUUCAGAGUGAGAAAGACAAAUAACUCCAUUUCAUACCACAAAGAAGACUAUUUAAUAACACCUGCUAGCAGACAUAGCUGUUCUGUCUCAAAUUCUCCUGUAGAUACUGGUGUUUGCUACUCUAGCUAUUGAAACUUCUUGCAAACUCUGAUUCUCAUGUAGCUUUGAGCCUUCAUGCUACUGAGGUCACUGUUCCCCUUCACCACUUUCUUAUUUCAACAAACUAAACUCUGUCCUAGCUCCCUCAACCCAUAGAACCCAUACUCAUGGCUUGCAUCAACUUCCACAGACAGAGGAAAGUAAAAUAACACAUUUUUGUCUUGUUUUCAUUUUUUUUAAUUAUGCUAGUAAGCUGUUAAAAUUUGGACGUUGUCCAACUGCCUCAUUUAACAUUUUGCAUUCAACCACCUGCCACCUAUUUAAUUUUAAGCACUUAUUGUUUACCAUUAUUUGAUUUUUAGUAAUUUAGCUUUUAAAAAACGUUGUCAUUAUCUCACCAUUAUCUCAUUUUCUUUGUGAUUUAAUAUUUUGACAUUUUUCAACACUUCACUAUGCUAUUGACUUUUAAAACAUGUUUGAUUUGUCUUGUGCAUGUCUCCUUUUAUUUCCUGUAGUGAAAGUAUUGAUUAUUACCUCAGUCAGGGCUUCUGGAAUUAGCACAGGAGCAAACAGCGAUUUUUUGUUGUUCUUCCAGUUUUGUUUUUAAUUGUUUCUCUCUUAACUGCAUUUUUGGCAUUUUGGGUUUGUUUGUUUGUUUGUUCGUUUGUUUGUUGGAGUAACUGACACAGAAAUAAAGUGUAAAAGUUGAAUUUCUCCUUAUUCACUAUCAGUAUGAAAAGGAAAUAGCUAGCAUGUUUAUUAUAUAAGCCUGUGAACUCUGAGCAUUUUGGAAUCCUGUUUACUUUUAGUUGACCUCAUCAGUUAACAUAAAUGUAAUUCUCAACAUCUUUUUAUACAUGUAUUUUAAGUUUAAUCAUUCUCCUUCAUGUGCUUUCAUAAUUGCAGUACUUUACAGCAUGUUUUUCAUUCAUAUAUUUAUCUAUUCUAAUUUUCUCUUUACAUUUGUCGGUAGCUUUUA